AUACUCACCUGACAAGGGAGAUACCAUGCUCAUCAGGGCGAUUUCCCCAGGGAGAGGCUUAUCCAUUGCACCCCCGAAGCGCUGACCCCUGUGAUUCCCCAAAGGAGGGAGACUCAGCUGCACAGUGUGUGGUGGUGGGGACUGCGUUCGAGCUCUCCCCUG